CUACGGGCCGCACCAGUGGGGAAUAUUGCACAAUGGGGGGAACCCUGAUGCAGCAACGCCGCGUGGAGGAUGACACUUUUCGGAGCGUAAACUCCUUUUAUAUAGGAAGAAGAUGACGGUACUAUAUGAAUAAGCGCCGGCUAACUCCGUGCCAGCAGCCGCGGUAAUACGGAGGGCGCAAGCGUUACUCGGAAUCACUGGGCGUAAAGAGCGUGUAGGCGGAUUAAAAAGUCAGAAGUGAAAUCCUAUAGCUUAACUAUAGAACUGCUUCUGAAACUCUUAAUCUAGAAUGUGGGAGAGGUAGAUGGAAUUUCUGGUGUAGGGGUAAAAUCCGUAGAGAUCAGAAGGAAUACCGAUUGCGAAGGCGAUCUACUAGAACAUUAUUGACGCUGAGACGCGAAAGCGUGGGGAGCAAACAGGAUUAGAUACCCCCGUAGUC
rnacentral:rRNA from 1 species